rnacentral:rRNA from 1 species
AUUGAACGCUGGCGGCAGGCCUAACACAUGCAAGUCGAACGGUAACAGGAAGAAGCUUGCUUCUUUGCUGACGAGUGGCGGACGGGUGAGUAAUGUCUGGGAAACUGCCUGAUGGAGGGGGAUAACUACUGGAAACGGUAGCUAAUACCGCAUAACGUCGCAAGACCAAAAAGGGGGACCUUCGGGCCUCUUGUCAUCGGAUGUGCCCAGAUGGGAUUAGCUAGUAGGUGGGGUAACGGCUCACCUAGGCGACGAUCCCUAGCUGGUCUGAGAGGAUGACCAGCCACACUGGAACUGAGACACGGUCCAGACUCCUACGGGAGGCAGCAGUGGGGAAUAUUGCACAAUGGGCGCAAGCCUGAUGCAGCCAUGCCGCGUGUAUGAAGAAGGCCUUCGGGUUGUAAAGUACUUUCAGCGGGGAGGAAGGGAGUAAAGUUAAUACCUUUGCUCAUUGACGUUACCCGCAGAAGAAGCACCGGCUAACUCCGUG